rnacentral:rRNA from 1 species
UACGUAGGGUGCAAGCGUUAAUCGGAAUUACUGGGCGUAAAGCGUGCGCAGGCGGUUGUGCAAGACAGAUGUGAAAUCCCCGGGCUCAACCUGGGAAUUGCAUUUGUGACUGCACGGCUAGAGUGUGUCAGAGGGGGGUAGAAUUCCACGUGUAUCAGUGAAAUGCGUAGAUAUGUGGAGGAAUACCGAUGGCGAAGGCAGCCCCCUGGGAUAACACUGACGCUCAUGCACGAAAGCGUGGGGAGCAAACAGG